CCUACGGGAGGCAGCAGUAGGGAAUCUUCGGCAAUGGACGAAAGUCUGACCGAGCAACGCCGCGUGAGUGAAGAAGGUUUUCGGAUCGUAAAACUCUGUUGGUAGAGAAGAACGUUGGUGAGAGUGGAAAGCUCAUGCAAGUGACGUAAUACCGC
rnacentral:rRNA from 1 species